GUGUCAGCCGCCGCGGUAAUACGUAGGGGGCGAGCGUUGUCCGGAAUUACUGGGCGUAAAGGGUGCGUAGGUGGCUAUUUAAGUUGGAUGUGAAAUACCCGGGCUUAACCUGGGGGGUGCAUUCAAAACUGGAUGGCUAGAGUGCAGGAGAGGGAAGCGGAAUUCCUAGUGUAUCGGUGAAAUGCGUAGAUAUUAGGAGGAACACCAGUGGCGAAGGCGGCUUUCUGGA
rnacentral:rRNA from 1 species